rnacentral:lncRNA from 1 species
UGGGAGUGUUUUGUAGUUGAGAGGCCGUGUGGAGGUCUCUGUCCGUAUUUCUUUUCUUGAUUCUUUCCUUGGUAUUUUAUUUCAAAUUUUAUUUUCUAUGGUGGAGGGUUAACGCACUGUUAGUUUAGAGGUACCACUGAUUUUGUUCAAAGUUAGGGAGGAAGAGGAUGGAGUUUUAGUUUCCUGGGGUUUGAACGGUGUGGUGUGCGCGAUGACUUUGCAGCCUUGCACGGAGGAGACACUAUCGGUACAUGGAUUCAGGUGUGUUUCUGAGAAUGGAGAUAAGGUGGAGCAGGUUCUGCUCGCGGUCGGCGAACAGCCAUGAGGUUGAAGGAAUUGCCCGUAUAACUCUGAGGCAGGAUUGUGUCGACGGCACAGAUCUGAGGAAGGGUACCAAAACAUUUCUGCAGCAUUGAAGGUCCCCAAGAACACAGUGGCGUCCAUCAUUCUUAAAUGGAAGAAGUUUGGAACCACCAAGACUCUUCCUAGAGAUGGCCGCCAAACUGAGCAAUCUGGGGAGAAGGGCCUUGGUCAGGGAGGUGACCAAGAACCCGAUGGUCACUCUGACAGAGCUCUAGAGUUCCUCUGUGGAGAUGCGAGAACUUUCCAGAAGGACAACCAUCUCUGGAGCACUCCACCAAUCAGGCCUUUAUGGUAGAGUGGCCAGACGGAAGCCACUCCUCAGCAAAAGGCACAUGACAGCCCACUUGGACUUUGCCAAAAGGCUGAUGAAACCAAGAUUCAACUCUUUGGCCUGAAUGCCAAGCGUCACGUCUGGAGGUCCUCCAAGAGAGCAAGAUCCAGGUCACCCCCAGCCCCAGAGGGCCAAGAUAGGACAGGAGUUGUCAGAGUGCAAUCUGAGAAACCCCCUGCCGCCUCCCGGAGCUGUCAUAUUUUUCAGCACCUUGUAUUUUUAGAGUGCAUUUAGGUCCGUUGGCUCAAUCAUGUGCUGAGAGCUGUAGGAGCAGGAGACAACCACACAUACACACCAUCAUUCUCUGCCCUCUCUCAUGUCGCUUUCCCCAGAUAGCUCUGUGGCAGCCACCUUUCAAAACCUUGGCUGCUAAAUUAUAAUGUUUCUUAAGCUGUUUUUUAUGUCACUCCAACAGCCACAUUAAAAUCUACAGCUGCCCCGGAGCUGAGGGAGCUGAC